CCAGAGAAGUCACACUGAGGGUGAAAGACUGUAACAUGGAAGGAUAAAAGGGGUUAUCUUUAAUAACCCUAUCAGCCUGGUACCGUGACGCGGAUCCCAACAUAUCAGCUCGCUGACGAGAGGAGCGGACACGCUGAAACCCACCGGUGGUCUGAGUCAUGGACCUGUCUAAAGUCCCGGGAGGUAACUUCCUCGCUGGGCCAGCGUCGUAGGUUAACUCCUUUCGCCAACGAGGGAUUGACGGGAUCCGACCGGGAGAAAAGCACACCACAGCAAGAUCCACAAGCAGUGAGACCAGGAGACUGGGUGUUCAUCAAAAUCAUCAGAAGGAAGGACUGGGCGAGCCAAAGUUGGGAAGGACCAUUCCAAGUGCUCCUGACCAUGCCAACAGCUGUAAUGAUCGCUGAAAGACCUUCCUGGAUUCACCUCAGCCACUG